rnacentral:rRNA from 1 species
UGGGGAAUAUUGCACAAUGGGCGCAAGCCUGAUGCAGCCAUGCCGCGUGUGUGAAGAAGGCCUUCGGGUUGUAAAGCACUUUCAGCGAGGAGGAAGGGUAGUGUGUUAAUAGCACAUUGCAUUGACGUUACUCGCAGAAGAAGCACCGGCUAACUCCGUGCCAGCAGCCGCGGUAAUACGGAGGGUGCAAGCGUUAAUCGGAAUUACUGGGCGUAAAGCGCACGCAGGCGGUUUGUUAAGUCAGAUGUGAAAUCCCCGCGCUUAACGUGGGAACUGCAUUUGAAACUGGCAAGCUAGAGUCUUGUAGAGGGGGGUAGAAUUCCAGGUGUAGCGGUGAAAUGCGUAGAGAUCUGGAGGAAUACCGGUGGCGAAGGCGGCCCCCUGGACAAAGACUGACGCUCAGGUGCGAAAGCGUGGGGAGCAAAACAGGAUUAGAUACCCUGGUAGUCCACGCUGUAAACGAUGUCGACUUGGAGGUUGUGCCCUUGAGGCGUGGCUUCCGGAGCUAACGCGUUAAGUCGACCGCCUGGGGGAGUACGGCCGCAAGGUUAA